rnacentral:rRNA from 1 species
CGGAGGGAGCUAGCGUUAUUCAAAUUACUGGGCGUAAAGCGCACGUAGGCGGCCUUGUAAGUUAGAGGUGAAAGCCCGGAGCUCAACUCCGGAACUGCCUUUAAGACUGCAUCGCUUGAAUCCAGGAGAGGUGAGUGGAAUUCCGAGUGUAGAGGUGAAAUUCGUAGAUAUUCGGAAGAACACCAGUGGCGAAGGCGGCUCACUGGACUGGUAUUGACGCUGAGGUGCGAAAGCGUGGGGGAGCAAACAGGAUU